CAGUAGCCGCGGUAACACGGAGGGUGCAAGCGUUAAUCGGAAUUACUGGGCGUAAAGCGCACGCAGGCGGUCUGACAAGUCAGAUGUGAAAUCCCCGGGCUUAACCUGGGAACUGCAUUUGAAACUGUCAGGCUGGAGUCUUGUAGAGGGGGGUGGAAUUCCAGGUGUAGCGGUGAAAUGCGUAGAGAUCUGGAGGAAUACCGGUGGCGAAGGCGGCCCCCUGGACGAAGACUGACGCUCAGAUGCGAAAGCGUGGGGAGCAAACAGGAUUAGAUACCCCUGUAGUCCCUGUCUCUUAUAA
rnacentral:rRNA from 1 species